rnacentral:rRNA from 1 species
CGCUGGCGGCAUGCUUACACAUGCAAGUCGAACGGCAGCACGGGCCUCGGCCUGGUGGCGAGUGCGAACGGGUGAGUAAUACAUCGGAACGUACCCAGAAGUGGGGGAUAACGUAGCGAAAGUUACGCUAAUACCGCAUACGUUCUACGGAAGAAAGUGGGGGAUCGCAAGACCUUAUGCUUUGGAGCGGCCGAUGUCUGAUUAGCUAGUUGGUGAGGUAAAGGCUCACCAAGGCGACGAUCAGUAGCUGGUCUGAGAGGACGACCAGCCACACUGGAACUGAGACACGGUCCAGACUCCUACGGGAGGCAGCAGUGGGGAAUUUUGGACAAUGGGCGCAAGCCUGAUCCAGCAAUGCCGCGUGAGUGAAGAAGGCCUUCGGGUUGUAAAGCUCUUUUGUGCUGGGAAGAAACGGCAGGGGCUAAUAUCCUUUGCUAAUGACGGUACCUAAGAAU